GUUUGGACUUAACCCCUAUUAGUGACUCAGGCUAAGGCUCUUCAUGGAAGAAUGGGCUGCCUCCCCGGGACUUGCUGGAAGAAUAUGGCGAUGGUGGUGGACGUCAGUGUCAUGAUAUUAAUAUAUUCCAGCGGACUUGAACACCCAUCUUACUAGCCGACUUUUGCUGUCAACUGUCUCCCUUGCUGGCUUUGAUGGAGUAAGCUGCCAUAGAGAGAGGUCCUGGAGAAGAACUGAGGGUGGCCUCUGGCUGAGGGCCCACAAGAAGCUGAGGCCCUCAGGCCAACAACCCUCAAGGAACUGAAUUCUGUCAACAACCACAUGAUUUUGGAAGCAGAACCUUCCCCGGUCAAGCUGCAGAUAAGAUCCCCAGCCCUGACUGACUCCCGGAUUAAAGCACCGUAAGAGAAUCUAAAACAGAGGAAUCAGCUAAACUGUGCCUGGACUCCUGACCCACAGGAACUGUGAAAUAAUAAAUGUGCUGUUUAAAAGUACGAAGUUUGUGGUAAUUUGUUAUGCAGCAGUAGAUAAGUAACACAACAAAGCAGUUAUAACCUUCUGUACCUGACAUCCUGUGAGCAUGACAAUACUCUUCUUAUGAUACCAGCAUUACACAUGUAACAGAAACCACUCCAUUAUGACAUACACAAACAUAUUGUAAGCUGCUGUUACUAUGCUGGGUUGAGAAUUAUUCAUCUUUCUAGAACUCCUAGGGUACUUGUUCUGUAUUUAGAUUCUCAUUUAAUCAGGACUCAUUUCCAGGCUUCUUCCUGCUGAUUGUAAAUACCAUGCUCACACACACAGGUCCACAUUCACACAUACAGAUCCACAUUCACACACACAGGUCCACACACACACACACAGGUCCACGUUCACAUACAGAUCCACAUUCACACACACAGGUCCACACACACACACACAGGUCCAUGUUCACAUACAGAUCCACAUUCACACACACACAGUUGCACACUCACACACAGGCCCACACUCACACACACAGGUCCACACUCACACACACAGGCCCACACUCACACACACACAUCCACACUCACACACAGGCCCACACUCACACACACAGGUCCACUCUCACACACAGGCCCACACUCACACAGGCCCACGUUCACACACACAGGUCCACAUUCACACACAAGAUCCACACUCACACACACAGGUCCUGCAUCUCGCUGAAUUUAAUUAAGGAUCAACCUGAAAUAAAAU
rnacentral:lncRNA from 10 species